ACGAAAGUCUGAUGGAGCAACGCCGCGUGAGUGAUGAAGGUUUUCGGAUCGUAAAGCUCUGUUGUUAGGGAAGAACAAGUGCGAGAGUAACUGCUCGCACCUUGACGGUACCUAACCAGAAAGCCACGGCUAACUACGUGCCAGCAGCCGCGGUAAUACGUAGGUGGCAAGCGUUGUCCGGAAUUAUUGGGCGUAAAGCGCGCGCAGGUGGUUUCUUAAGUCUGAUGUGAAAGCCCACGGCUCAACCGUGGAGGGUCAUUGGAAACUGGGGAACUUGAGUGCAGAAGAGGAAAGUGGAAUUCCAAGUGUAGCGGUGAAAUGCGUAGAGAUUUGGAGGAACACCAGUGGCGAAGGCGACUUUCUGGUCUGUAACUGACACUGAGGCGCGAAAGCGUGGGGAGCAAACAGGAUUAGAUACCCUGGUAGUCCACGCCGUAAACGAUGAGUGCUAAGUGUUAGAGGGUUUCCGCCCUUUAGUGCUGCAGCUAACGCAUUAAGCACUCCGCCUGGGGAGUACGGUCGCAAGACUGAAACUCAAAGGAAUUGACGGGGGCCCGCACAAGCGGUGGAGCAUGUGGUUUAAUUCGAAGCAACGCGAAGAACCUUACCAGGUCUUGACAUCCUCUGCCAACCCUAGAGAUAGGGCGUUCCCCUUCGGGGGACAGAGUGACAGGUGGUGCAUGGUUGUCGUCAGCUCGUGUCGUGAGAUGUUGGGUUAAGUCCCGCAACGAGCGCAACCCUUGAUCUUAGUUGCCAGCAUUAAGUUGGGCACUCUAAGGUGACUGCCGGUGACAAACCGGAGGAAGGUGGGGAUGACGUCAAAUCAUCAUGCCCCUUAUGACCUGGGCUACACACGUGCUACAAUGGACGGUACAAAGGGCAGCAAAACCGCGAGGUCGAGCCAAUCCCAGAAAACCGUUCUCAGUUCGGAUUGCAGGCUGCAACUCGCCUGCAUGAAGCCGGAAUCGCUAGUAAUCGCGGAUCAGCAUGCCGCGGUGAAUACGUUCCC
rnacentral:rRNA from 1 species